rnacentral:rRNA from 1 species
GAUGAACGCUGGCGGCGUGCCUAAUACAUGCAAGUCGAGCGAACAGACGAGGAGCUUGCUCCUCUGACGUUAGCGGCGGACGGGUGAGUAACACGUGGAUAACCUACCUAUAAGACUGGGAUAACUUCGGGAAACCGGAUCUAAUACCGGAUAAUAUAUUGAACCGCAUGGUUCAAUAGUGAAAGACGGCUUUGCUGAUACUUAUAGAUGGUGCCGCGGCGGAUUGUCUAGGUGGUAAGGUAACGGCCUACCAAGGCAACGAUGCUUAGCCGACCUGAGAGGGUUGUCCGCCAACAUGGAACUUGGACACGGUCCAGACUCCUUAGGGAGGCCGCAGGUGGGAAUAUUUCCCAAUUGGCGAAAGCCUGACGGAGCAACGCCGCGUGAGUGAUGAAGGUCUUCGGAUCGUAAAACUCUGUUAUUAGGAAAGAACAAAUGUGUAAGUAACUAUGCACGUCUUGACGGUACCUAAUCAAAAAGCAACGGCUAACUACGUG